AACCGGGAGAUAGCUGGUUCUCCCCGAAAGCUAUUUAGGUAGCGCCUCGUGAAUUCAUCUCCGGGGGUAGAGCACUGUUUCGGCAAGGGGGUCAUCCCGACUUACCAACCCGAUGCAAACUGCGAAUACCGGAGAAUGUUAUCACGGGAGACACACGGCGGGUGCUAACGUCCGUCGUGAAGAGGGAAACAACCCAGACCGCCAGCUAAGGUCCCAAAGUCAUGGUUAAGUGGGAAACGAUGUGGGAAGGCCCAGACAGCCAGGAUGUUGGCUUAGAAGCAGCCAUCAUUUAAAGAAAGCGUAAUAGCUCACUGGUCGAGUCGGCCUGCGCGGAAGAUGUAACGGGGCUAAACCAUGCACCGAAGCUGCGGCAGCGACACUGUGUGUUGUUGGGUAGGGGAGCGUUCUGUAAGCCUGUGAAGGUGUGCUGUGAGGCAUGCUGGAGGUAUCAGAAGUGCGAAUGCUGACAUAAGUAACGAUAAAGCGGGUGAAAAGCCCGCUCGCCGGAAGACCAAGGGUUCCUGUCCAACGUUAAUCGGGGCAGGGUGAGUCGACCCCUAAGGCGAGGCCGAAAGGCGUAGUCGAUGGGAAACAGGUUAAUAUUCCUGUACUUGGUGUUACUGCGAAGGGGGGACGGAGAAGGCUAUGUUGGCCGGGCGACGGUUGUCCCGGUUUAAGCGUGUAGGCUGGUUUUCCAGGCAAAUCCGGAGAAUCAAGGCUGAGGCGUGAUGACGAGGCACUACGGUGCUGAAGCAACAAAUGCCCUGCUUCCAGGAAAAGCCUCUAAGCAUCAGGUAACAUCAAAUCGUACCCCAAACCGACACAGGUGGUCAGGUAGAGAAUACCAAGGCGCUUGAGAGAACUCGGGUGAAGGAACUAGGCAAAAUGGUGCCGUAACUUCGGGAGAAGGCACGCUGAUAUGUAGGUGAAGCGACUUGCUCGUGGAGCUGAAAUCAGUCGAAGAUACCAGCUGGCUGCAACUGUUUAUUAAAAACACAGCACUGUGCAAACACGAAAGUGGACGUAUACGGUGUGACGCCUGCCCGGUGCCGGAAGGUUAAUUGAUGGGGUCAGCGCAAGCGAAGCUCUUGAUCGAAGCCCCGGUAAACGGCGGCCGUAACUAUAACGGUCCUAAGGUAGCGAAAUUCCUUGUCGGGUAAGUUCCGACCUGCACGAAUGGCGUAAUGAUGGCCAGGCUGUCUCCACCCGAGACUCAGUGAAAUUGAACUCGCUGUGAAGAUGCAGUGUACCCGCGGCAAGACGGAAAGACCCCGUGAACCUUUACUAUAGCUUGACACUGAACACUGGUCCUUGAUGUGUAGGAUAGGUGGGAGGCUUUGAAGUGUGGACGCCAGUCUGCAUGGAGCCGUCCUUGAAAUACCACCCUUUAAUGGCUGGUGUUCUAACGUUGGCCCCUUACCGGGGUUGCGGACAGUGUCUGGUGGGUAGUUUGACUGGGGCGGUCUCCUCCUAAAGAGUAACGGAGGAGCACGAAGGUUGGCUAAUCCUGGUCGGACAUCAGGAGGUUAGUGCAAUGGCAUAAGCCAGCUUGACUGCGAGCGUGACGGCGCGAGCAGGUGCGAAAGCAGGUCAUAGUGAUCCGGUGGUUCUGAAUGGAAGGGCCAUCGCUCAACGGAUAAAAGGUACUCCGGGGAUAACAGGCUGAUACCGCCCAAGAGUUCAUAUCGACGGCGGUGUUUGGCACCUCGAUGUCGGCUCAUCACAUCCUGGGGCUGAAGUAGGUCCCAAGGGUAUGGCUGUUCGCCAUUUAAAGUGGUACGCGAGCUGGGUUUAGAACGUCGUGAGACAGUUCGGUCCCUAUCUGCCGUGGGCGCUGGAGAACUGAGGGGGGCUGCUCCUAGUACGAGAGGACCGGAGUGGACGCAUCACUGGUGUUCGGGUUGUCAUGCCAAUGGCACUGCCCGGUAGCUAAAUGCGGAAGAGAUAAGUGCUGAAAGCAUCUAAGCACGAAACUUGCCCCGAGAUGAGUUCU
rnacentral:rRNA from 1 species